CCUACGGGUGGCAGCAGUGAGGAAUAUUGGUCAAUGGGCGCGAGCCUGAACCAGCCAAGUAGCGUGAAGGAUGACUGCCCUACGGGUUGUAAACUUCUUUUAUAAAGGAAUAAAGUGAGGCACGUGUGCCUUUUUGUAUGUACUUUAUGAAUAAGGAUCGGCUAACUCCGUGACAGCAGCCGCGGUAAUACGGUGGAUCCGAGCGUUAUCCGGAUUUAUUGGGUUUAAAGGGAGCGUAGAUGGGUUGUUAAGUCAGUUGUGAAAGUUUGCGGCUCAACCGUAAAAUUGCUAGUGAGACUGGCAGUCUUGAGGACAGUUGAGGCAGGCGGAAUUCGUGGUGUAGCGGUGAAAGGCUUAGAUAAUGCGAAGAACUCCGAGUGCGAAGGCAGCUUACUAAACGGCCACUGACAUUGAUGCUCGAAAGUGUGGGUAUCAAACAGGAUUAGAUACCCUUGUAGUC
rnacentral:rRNA from 1 species